rnacentral:rRNA from 1 species
AUUGAACGCUGGCGGCAGGCCUAACACAUGCAAGUCGAGCGGAUGAAGGGAGCUUGCUCCUGGAUUCAGCGGCGGACGGGUGAGUAAUGCCUAGGAAUCUGCCUGGUAGUGGGGGAUAACGUCCGGAAACGGGCGCUAAUACCGCAUACGUCCUGAGGGAGAAAGUGGGGGAUCUUCGGACCUCGCGCUAUCAGAUGAGCCUAGGUCGGAUUAGCUAGUUGGUGGGGUAAAGGCCUACCAAGGCGACGAUCCGUAACUGGUCUGAGAGGAUGAUCAGUCACACUGGAACUGAGACACGGUCCAGACUCCUACGGGAGGCAGCAGUGGGGAAUAUUGGACAAUGGGCGAAAGCCUGAUCCAGCCAUGCCGCGUGUGUGAAGAAGGUUUUCGGAUUGUAAAGCACUUUAAGUUGGGAGGAAGGGCAGUAAGUUAAUACCUUGCUGUUUUGACGUUACCAACAGAAUAAGCACCGGCUAACUUCGUG